CUGGGUGGAUUAGUGGCGAACGGGUGAGUAACACGUGAGCAACCUGCCCCUGACUCUGGGAUAAGCGCUGGAAACGGCGUCUAAUACUGGAUAUGAGCCUUCCACGCAUGUGGGGGGUUGGAAAGAUUUUUUGGUUGGGGAUGGGCUCGCGGCCUAUCAGCUUGUUGGUGAGGUAAUGGCUCACCAAGGCGUCGACGGGUAGCCGGCCUGAGAGGGUGACCGGCCACACUGGGACUGAGACACGGCCCAGACUCCUACGGGAGGCAGCAGUGGGGAAUAUUGCACAAUGGGCGGAAGCCUGAUGCAGCAACGCCGCGUGAGGGAUGACGGCCUUCGGGUUGUAAACCUCUUUUAGCAAGGAAGAAGCGAAAGUGACGGUACUUGCAGAAAAAGCGCCGGCUAACUACGUGCCAGCAGCCGCGGUAAUACGUAGGGCGCAAGCGUUAUCCGGAAUUAUUGGGCGUAAAGAGCUCGUAGGCGGUUUGUCGCGUCUGCUGUGAAAUCCCGAGGCUCAACCUCGGGCCUGCAGUGGGUACGGGCAGACUAGAGUGCGGUAGGGGAGAUUGGAAUUCCUGGUGUAGCGGUGGAAUGCGCAGAUAUCAGGAGGAACACCGAUGGCGAAGGCAGAUCUCUGGGCCGUAACUGACGCUGAGGAGCGAAAGGGUGGGGAGCAAACAGGCU
rnacentral:rRNA from 1 species